rnacentral:rRNA from 1 species
UGAUCAUGGCUCAGAUUGAACGCUGGCGGCAGGCCUAACACAUGCAAGUCGAGCGGUAACAGGGGAAGCUUGCUUCUCGCUGACGAGCGGCGGACGGGUGAGUAAUGUCUGGGAAACUGCCUGAUGGAGGGGGAUAACUACUGGAAACGGUAGCUAAUACCGCAUAACGUCGCAAGACCAAAGAGGGGGACCUUCGGGCCUCUUGCCAUCGGAUGUGCCCAGAUGGGAUUAGCUAGUAGGUGGGGUAACGGCUCACCUAGGCGAC